rnacentral:rRNA from 1 species
GAUGCGAAUCUCGAAAGCCUGUCUCAGUUCGGAUUGGAGGCUGAAACCCGCCUCCAUGAAGUUGGAUUCGCUAGUAAUCGCGCAUCAGCCAUGGCGCGGUGAAUACGUUCCCGGGCCUUGUACACACCGCCCGUCAAGCCAUGGGAGCCGGGGGUGCCUGAAGUUCGUGACCGCAAGGAGCGACCUAGGGCAAAACUGGUGACUGGGGCUAAGUCGUAACAAGGUAAC